UUGGAGGGCAAGUCUGGUGCCAGCAGCCGCGGUAAUUCCAGCUCCAAUAGCGUAUAUUAAAGUUGUUGCAGUUAAAAAGCUCGUAGUUGAAUUUCGGGAUCAAUACGUCGGUCGUGCCUCUGGUAUGAACUGGUGUUAUUGAUUCCUCCUUUCUGAUAAACCAUGAUGUCAUUAAUUUGGUGUUGUGGGGAAGUCAGGACUGUUACUUUGAAAAAAUUAGAGUGUUUAAAGCAGGCCUACGCUUGAAUACAUUAGCAUGGAAUAAUGAAAUAGGACGUUCGAACCUAUUUUGUUGGUUUCUAGGAUCAACGUAAUGAUUAAUAGGGAUAGUUGGGGGCAUUAGUAUUCAAUUGUCAGAGGUGAAAUUCUUGGAUUUAUUGAAGACUAACUACUGCGAAAGCAUUUGCCAAGGAUGUUUUCAUUAAUCAAGAACGAAAGUUAGGGGAUCGAAGACGAUCAGAUACCGUCGUAGUCUUAACCAUAAACUAUGCCGACUAGGGAUCAGAUGAUGUUAAUUUUUUAAUGACUCAUUCGGCGCCUUACGGGAAAC
rnacentral:rRNA from 1 species